rnacentral:sRNA from 1 species
GUCGUGAGAUGUUGGGUUAAGUCCCGCAACGAGCGCAACCCUUAUCCUAUGUUGCCAGCACGUAAUGGUGGGGACUCGUGGGAGACUGCCGGGGUCAACUCGGAGGAAGGUGGGGACGACGUCAAGUCAUCAUGCCCCUUAUGUCCAGGGCUGCAAACAUGCUACAAUGGCCGGUACAAAGGGCUGCUAUACCGCGAGGUGGAGCGAAUCCCAUAAAGCCGGUCUCAGUUCGGAUUGAAGUCUGCAACUCGACUUCAUGAAGCUGGAGUCGCUAGUAAUCCCGGAUCAGCAACGCCGGGGUGAAUACGUUCCCGGGCCUUGUACACACCGCCCGUCACACCACGAAAGUCGGCAACGCCCGAAGCCAGUGGCCUAACCCGCAAGGGGAGGAGCUGUCGAAGGUGGGGUCGGCGAUUGGGGUGAAGUCGUAACAAGGUAGCCGUACCGGAAGGUGCGGCUGGAUCACCUCCUUUCUAAGGAGCUCACCACCAUCCGGUGGAGACUCCCAGUUGAUGCACUCUUUAUUCGUUCCUCGAGCUCGCCCGACCGGUCGUAGGUUUACCUCCCGGUCCCGUGAGGGAGAGGUUCGUCGUUCUCUGUUCCGUAUUUGAAGGAGCGCCCCUUAGGCCCCCGCCCACGGCUUGCCGUGCGGGGGCCUUCGUCCGCUCCAGGAGCCGUACCUUCCCGAAAGGGUCGGGCCGGCUCCGUUUGCCCUUUGAGAACUGCAUAGCGAGCACGAGCAUCUUUGUUCUUCCAAGUUACAAAGUGCCAACGGUGGAUGCCUUGGCGUCUACUACCGAUGAAGGACGUGAUUGGCUGCGAUAAGCCACGGGGAGCUGCCUAAUGAGCGUUGAUCCGUGGAUGU